rnacentral:rRNA from 1 species
AAAUUGAAGAGUUUGAUCAUGGCUCAGAUUGAACGCUGGCGGCAGGCCUAACACAUGCAAGUCGAACGGUAACAGGAAGCAGCUUGCUGCUUUGCUGACGAGUGGCGGACGGGUGAGUAAUGUCUGGGAAACUGCCUGAUGGAGGGGGAUAACUACUGGAAACGGUGGCUAAUACCGCAUAACGUCGCAAGACCAAAGAGGGGGACCUUCGGGCCUCUUGCCAUCAGAUGUGCCCAGAUGGGAUUAGCUUGUUGGUGAGGUAACGGCUCACCAAGGCGACGAUCCCUAGCUGGUCUGAGAGGAUGACCAGCCACACUGGAACUGAGACACGGUCCAGACUCCUACGGGAGGCAGCAGUGGGGAAUAUUGCACAAUGGGCGCAAGCCUGAUGCAGCCAUGCCGCGUGUAUGAAGAAGGCCUUCGGGUUGUAAAGUACUUUCAGCGGGGAGGAAGGUGUUGUGGUUAAUAACCGCAGCAAUUGACGUUACCCGCAGAAGAAGCACCGGCUAACUCCGUGCCAGCAGCCGCGGUAAUACGGAGGGUGCAAGCGUUAAUCGGAAUUACUGGGCGUAAAGCGCACGCAGGCGGUCUGUCAAGUCGGAUGUGAAAUCCCCGGGCUCAACCUGGGAACUGCAUUCGAAACUGGCAGGCUUGAGUCUUGUAGAGGGGGGUAGAAUUCCAGGUGUAGCGGUGAAAUGCGUAGAGAUCUGGAGGAAUACCGGUGGCGAAGGCGGCCCCCUGGACAAAGACUGACGCUCAGGUGCGAAAGCGUGGGGAGCAAACAGGAUUAGAUACCCUGGUAGUCCACGCCGUAAACGAUGUCUACUUGGAGGUUGUGCCCUUGAGGCGUGGCUUCCGGAGCUAACGCGUUAAGUAGACCGCCUGGGGAGUACGGCCGCAAGGUUAAAACUCAAAUGAAUUGACGGGGGCCCGCACAAGCGGUGGAGCAUGUGGUUUAAUUCGAUGCAACGCGAAGAACCUUACCUGGUCUUGACAUCCACAGAACUUUCCAGAGAUGGACUGGUGCCUUCGGGAACUGUGAGACAGGUGCUGCAUGGCUGUCGUCAGCUCGUGUUGUGAAAUGUUGGGUUAAGUCCCGCAACGAGCGCAACCCUUAUCCUUUGUUGCCAGCGGUUAGGCCGGGAACUCAAAGGAGACUGCCAGUGAUAAACUGGAGGAAGGUGGGGAUGACGUCAAGUCAUCAUGGCCCUUACGACCAGGGCUACACACGUGCUACAAUGGCGCAUACAAAGAGAAGCGACCUCGCGAGAGCAAGCGGACCUCAUAAAGUGCGUCGUAGUCCGGAUUGGAGUCUGCAACUCGACUCCAUGAAGUCGGAAUCGCUAGUAAUCGUGGAUCAGAAUGCCACGGUGAAUACGUUCCCGGGCCUUGUACACACCGCCCGUCACACCAUGGGAGUGGGUUGCAAAAGAAGUAGGUAGCUUAACCUUCGGGAGGGCGCUUACCACUUUGUGAUUCAUGACUGGGGUGAAGUCGUAACAAGGUAACCGUAGGGGAACCUGC